UUAAUUCUAUAGUUUAAAUAUGAGUUCUUUUUGAUUUCAGCGAAAAAUUACAUUUAAAAAAAACAAAGAAAACAUCAACAAUGACAAUUAGACUAUUUAAAAAUGAAAGGAUGCCUUCAACCUUGCCAUUAUCAAUAAAUUCCUAUAUCACAUUAAAAGAUGCAUGUUUGUCUAUGACCCGUCCUGAAGAAAACGAUCCUCACUGUGUGGUUUUUAUUCAAAACCUUGGUUAAUUAAUUUUAGCAUUUCAAUUUAAAAAAUAUUGCACAUUGAGAAGGAUAUCAAAUUAUAUGAAUAUUUGGGACCGAAGAAAAUAAUAAUACCCAUCUUAUGAGAUUUAAUCAUAUCAUGAUAUUGAACCUUACAUAUUCUAUUACCGGUUUGGUAUUUUUUGACGAAAAUAAAAUGAAUAUAUUAUAUUUUCAA